CCUUCGUCUAGUGGCCUAGGACACCGCCCUUUCACGGCGGUAACAGGGGUUCGAGUCCCCUAGG
rnacentral:tRNA from 1 species